UGAUCCAGCGGCGAUGGAUCUCGCCGGGGCGUGAACGCCCGAACCGCGACGGUCGCUGAUAGUUCCUGCGCUUCA
rnacentral:ncRNA from 2 species